UACGUAGGUGGCGAACGUUAUCCGGAAUUAUUGGGCGUAAAGGGUGCGUAGGCGGCAUGAUAAGUUAUUGGCGGGAAAUCGAGGCUCAACCUCGUGGAAACUAAUAAUACUGUUUUGCUUGAGUACAGGAGAGGUUAACGGAACUCCAUGUGGAGCGGUAAAAUGUGUAGAUAUAUGGAAGAACAUCAAUAACGGCGAAGGCAGUUAACUAUUCUGUUACUGACGUUGAGGCACGAAAGCGUGGGGAGCAAAACGG
rnacentral:rRNA from 1 species